UACGAAGGGGGCUAGCGUUGUUCGGAAUCACUGGGCGUAAAGCGCACGUAGGCGGUUUCUUAAGUCGGUGGUGAAAUCCUGGAGCUCAACUCCAGAACUGCCUUCGAUACUGGGAAACUUGAGUCCGGGAGAGGUGAGUGGAACUGCGAGUGUAGAGGUGAAAUUCGUAGAUAUUCGCAAGAACACCAGUGGCGAAGGCGGCUCACUGGCCCGGUACUGACGCUGAGGUGCGAAAGCGUGGGGAGCAAACAGG
rnacentral:rRNA from 1 species